rnacentral:lncRNA from 1 species
CUCCUCAUUACAGAUCAUUGAUGGUUUGGAGGUUAGUUCAGACCAAUUUUUCUAUGAUUCCAUAUGAAUUGAAAAUCAAAUUGGUGUACCUAUAUAAUAAAGAAGGAUACGGCUACAAAAUAAACACAAAAUGGAAAUGUUUGUCUUGAUCAUAAAAAAACGUAGUUGAAAAAACUGUCAAAAUAGGUGCAAUUUGGGUACCGUCACGUUAACUUUUGGAC